GAGGCCACCAAUUAGGGUUUCAAAAAGUUUGAAAGAACGAAACCUGAGGAGGUGACGGGGGGAUGGGGGAGGGGGGAGGGGGCACGCAAGCAGAUUGGGGGGAGGGGGCAGAGGGGCGCCUUCGGAAUUUAGAAAACAACUUUGCAACCCUGUCAAGGCAGACCGGCGCCCCAUCCCCCGGCCAGCCCGCAAAGCUUCCCGUUGUCUGCACGGAGGUUUUCUGGCCGCUUCUGCUGCCAGCGCUAGGAACGCAGGGCACCACCAGCUACCCAGGCCGGCUUAGGGACUCCAGGCUCAUUGGAAGUGCUCCUGGCUGCGUCUCCAAGAAGCUCUCCCUGGAAUUGGCCGCUGGUUGUCCAGAUCUUUCUCUAGGAGGGCCAGUGCGUCCAGGACGCAGCAGACUUCCUGAGAUUCGGAGCGGGACAUUCACUUGCUUGUUGGGUUAUCUGCCAAAGACUAGCGGCGCGGGAACUCUGGCUGCGGGGAGAGGAAACCCCGAUAAUCGCCACUGCCAGCUGAAGCGAGUGGCACAGCGUUUGAAACUCUCGGAGCAGCCCGAGGUAGCGAGUGGGAAUGAGAAGCCAUCCCGGCAGAUUUGGCAGAAACUAAAAUAA
ensembl:lincRNA